UGCGGAGGGAUCAUUACCGAGCGAGGGCCCCGGGCCCGACCUCCAACCCUGUCGACCAACACCUGUUGCCUCGGGGGCGACCCGGACGCCGACGCGUCGGGCACCCCGGUGGACCACUUCGACUCUGUGUCCGUACGUCGGAGUACUUUGUGAAUCAAUCAAAACUUUCAACAACGGAUCUCUUGGUUCUGGCAUCGAUGAAGAACGCAGCGAAAUGCGAUAAGUAAUGUGAAUUGCAGAAUUCAGUGAAUCAUCGAAUCUUUGAACGCACAUCGCGCCCUUUGGUAUUCCGGGGGGCAUGCCUGUUCGAGCGUCAUUACACCACUCAAGCUCGGCUUGGUAUUGGGCGUCGGGGCUCCCCCGCGCCUCAAUUUCACCGGCUGGACCGUCCGAAUCUCAGCGUUGUGGAUUUCAAUUCGCUGGCGAAGGGGGUGGAUCGCGCCGUUAAAAUGUCCAUCAAAGGUUGACCUCGGAUCAGGUAGGGAUACCCGCUGAACUUAA
rnacentral:rRNA from 1 species